GCCCCUCCCCCGUAUGCAGGACAGCCCAGGCUCUACACUUGAAGCAAGCCAGUGCUCCCUUGGGCCACCGGGCUGUAGGCCUGCCUGCUGAGCAGCAGCAGGGGAGUGGUGGCAGGAAAGGCAGGAGAUCCGUGUGCCUACCCUGCCUCCCUUGGAGACCCCAUAUUUCCAACACAGAGGGCAAGACUGUGAGCAGCAAGGCUGCCCUGGUACCAGCAGCUGCAGCAGCAGCAGCAGCCGAAGUAGCACUCCCCAUGGCCAAACACAAUGAAAUGACCAGCUCGGCCCCUGAGCAGGAGAGGCAGGCGGGCAGCAGACCCCACUCUCUUCCCCCUGUAGUAUAUAACUCAUGGGUACAGUACAGAAAGAGGAGGAGGAAGAUAAGAUCUGUUGCCCCAUGUCCAAAAACAUGUGAUCCCAGCGGGAAGGACCAAGCUGGGGAGGAGGAGAGCAGCAAGCUGCCCCCAAGUCCUGCACCUGCCAAAACUUCCCUACCAUCCGCUCAACCCACAACAUCCACAACAAAUGAGCGACUCAGGGGCUGGAGGCGCUGGAAGAAGAACAUCACCAGCUGCUUUCGAAAUUUAUGUUGUUGCUGCUGCAGCAGGCCUAGAGUCCUUCCUACACACACUGAUUCCUCCUGACAGCCUGGAAAAAACUCCAAUGGAAAGGCUGAAAGGCUGUGGUGCUCACCUGGAACACGUGCCAUUCUGCCUGAACAUGCCUGGAGACAACGGUUCCUUCCUCUGCUGCGACCUCCAACAAGCUCCACAGACUUGUUUUUCGUAUUGGAAAUGAUACUUAAUAUGCUUUCUAUAUUUUUUUGCUUCUCACCAAACUUAUUAAAUUGAUUUUCUCAAAA